GAUGAACGCUAGCUACAGGCUUAACACAUGCAAGUCGAGGGGCAGCGGGAUUGAAGCUUGCUUCAAUUGCCGGCGACCGGCGCACGGGUGAGUAACGCGUAUCCAACCUUCCGUACACUCAGGGAUAGCCUUUCGAAAGAAAGAUUAAUACCUGAUGGUAUGAUGAGAUUGCAUGAUAUCAUCAUUAAAGAUUUAUCGGUGUACGAUGGGGAUGCGUUCCAUUAGGUAGUAGGCGGGGUAACGGCCCACCUAGCCAACGAUGGAUAGGGGUUCUGAGAGGAAGGUCCCCCACAUUGGAACUGAGACACGGUCCAAACUCCUACGGGAGGCAGCAGUGAGGAAUAUUGGUCAAUGGACGAGAGUCUGAACCAGCCAAGUAGCGUGAAGGAUGAAGGUCCUACGGAUUGUAAACUUCUUUUAUAAGGGAAUAAACCCUCCCACGUGUGGGAGCUUGUAUGUACCUUAUGAAUAAGCAUCGGCUAACCCCGUG
rnacentral:rRNA from 1 species